rnacentral:lncRNA from 1 species
AGUGGCGGACCCAGAAACGGACCAAGGGGGCUAAAUAACAUAGAGCAGAAAAUUUCUUUGCUCGUUUAACCCAGUACACUAAUAAAUAUAGCUAAAAUUGAUAAUUCAAUAUUGAUUCAAAGUGCUCAAAGGCAAAGAUAGAUAAUAAGUACAGAAAAAUACCAAAUACAUGGAGUCUUGCAUCUUCAAGAAUUCACACCACUUGAACCAAUACCACUUGAACCAUCACGCCCAAUACUACAUCAAUUGGCUUCUUAAUCUCAUGAUGGAAUUCAUCAAUUGGCUUCCUAAGACCUGGAUCAGCAACUAUAUCAUUCAUAUCAAGCUCAAUGCGGGGUCUCUUUUGAUCAAGUCGUCUCUCUUGGGC